rnacentral:rRNA from 1 species
UGGGGAAUAUUGGACAAUGGGCGAAAGCCUGAUCCAGCCAUGCCGCGUGUGUGAAGAAGGCCUUUUGGUUGUAAAGCACUUUAAGCGAGGAGGAGGCUACUUGGAUUAAUACUCUAGGAUAGUGGACGUUACUCGCAGAAUAAGCACCGGCUAACUCUGUGCCAGCAGCCGCGGUAAUACAGAGGGUGCGAGCGUUAAUCGGAUUUACUGGGCGUAAAGCGUGCGUAGGCGGCUUUUUAAGUCGGAUGUGAAAUCCCUGAGCUUAACUUAGGAAUUGCAUUCGAUACUGGGAAGCUAGAGUAUGGGAGAGGAUGGUAGAAUUCCAGGUGUAGCGGUGAAAUGCGUAGAGAUCUGGAGGAAUACCGAUGGCGAAGGCAGCCAUCUGGCCUAAUACUGACGCUGAGGUAUGAAAGCAUGGGGAGCAAACAGG